CACUUCUAAGGAAGGCAGCAGGCGCGCAAAUUACCCAAUCCUGACUCAGGGAGGUAGUGACAAGAAAUAACAAUAAACCGGCUUAUGCCGGUUUAAUUGGAAUGAGUACAAUUUAAACAUCUUAACGAGGAACAAUUGGAGGGCAAGUCUGGUGCCAGCAGCCGCGGUAAUUCCAGCUCCAAUAGCGUAUACUAAAGUUGUUGCAGUUAAAAAGCUCGUAGUUGGAUUUCUGUGGGGACGGAGCGGCCGGCCGCACAUCGCGGUUCGAGCUAGCGCUUUCCCUACAUCCUGCCGCGAACCGUGCUACCAUUAAUUUGGUGGCGCCGGGGAUCGGCUCGAUUACUUUGAGAAAAAUAGAGUGUUCAAAGCAGGCCACAUGCCUUGAAUAAGUUAGCAUGGAAUAAUAACUAAGGACUUCGGUUCUAUUUUGUUGGUGUUCGGGACUGAAGUAAUGAUUGAUAGGGACAGUUGGGGCGGUCUGUAUUCCAAAGCGAGAGGUGAAAUUCUUAGACCUUCGGAAGACAAACAGCUGCGAAAGCGUUCCGCAAGGAUGUCCCCUUUGAUCAAGAACGAAAGUUGGGGGAUCGAAGACGAUCAGAUACCGUCGUAGUCUCAACUAUAAACUAUACCAGCUAGGGAUCGGCCAACGUUAUUUUAUACCGACUUGGUCGGCACCUUAUGAGAAAUCAAAGCAUCUGGGUUCCGGGGGGAGUAUGGUCGCAAGGCUGAAACUUAAAGGAAUUGACGGAAGGGCACCACCAGCCGUGGAGCCUGUGGCUUAAUUUGACUCAACACGGGAAAACUUACCAGGUCCAGACAUAGUAAGGAUUGACAGAUUGAUAGCUCUUUCUUGAUUCUGUGGGUGGUGGUGCAUGGCCGUUCUUAGUUGGUGGAGUGAUUUGUCUGGUUAAUUCCGUUAACGAACGAGACCCCAGCCUGCUAAAUAGCGCGCGUGAGCUUUGCUCGCGGCGAGCUUCUUAGAGGGACUCUGAUGCGCGAUAGCACAUGGAAGUUUGGGGCAAUAACAGGUCUGUGAUGCCCUUAGAUGUUCUGGGCCGCACACGGGCUACACUGGCGCCUGCAACGAGCAUAUCAGCUGGCCCGAGAGGGUCUUGGCUAAUCUUUUGAACCGGCGCCGUGCUUGGGAUUGACCUUUGCAAUUGUUGGUCAUGCAACGAGGAAUGCCUUGUAAACGCGAGUCAUCAGCUCGCAUUGAAUACGUCCCUGCCCUUUGUACACACCGCCCGUCGCUCCUACCGAUGAAUGUUCCGAUGAAAUUUUCGGAGAGCACCUGUGAACUUGGCUCUGCCUUGCGAACGGGAGGCUCAAAGUCACUUAAAUCUGAACAUUUCGAGG
rnacentral:rRNA from 1 species